UUGAAUUUCCUUGAAAUUAAUGGAUUUACUUGUUAAUCAUGGAUAAUCAUACAGAGUAACAUUGAAGGUACUAAUGCUGUCACUCUUUGUCGGUGAUAGGAAAUUAGAGUUGGUUGUUCUUCUGUGAUUUUAAUUGACUUGGGCCAUGAAACAUUAGUUUUAUUAUCUGUAAUAAUUCAAACGCCCUUGAAGUAUCAACUCCUGUGGGACCUAUGUCUCAAUGUUAUUGGCAUAAGAGGUGUGUAUCAACUCUUUGAAAUGCUCCAAAUCUAUGCUGCUCAAAUCCAAGUGUCGGAUAUUUAUUUUCUAAAAUAUAGGAUACGAGGAUAUAGUUAAAAAGAGUUCAAAUUUCGGACGUGGGUACGUCUUUCAAGUUUCAAUUCUUUUACUAGUUCAAGAUGUCAUUUUGAAUAGAUUAAAAUCAGUUGUUCACAAGAUGGAAAUGAGUAUUGGAGUUUA
rnacentral:lncRNA from 1 species